CCAAGGUGCAUCUAUCAAUCAAAUCAUAACGCUCUGCUGUGUCUCUGCUCUCAGCGCAUCCGCGCCAUGUCUUCUCGCAUAGCCUAAGAUGGUGUCUCCUUGUAAGCGGUAGUUAAGCCGAUUUUGAAGCCACCACCACCCCUCCGUCCACCGUCACCAGAGGUUCCCGUCUGUUAGGGGGCAGGCUACGCCCGCCUCCAUCUCCGCUGGAGGAUAUGCUGUCCUAUCCCGGAGUUCAACGCGAAGACGGGAACCUUCGCCAAACUGAUUCAUGCAUUUUAUCAAGUGUUAUUGUUCGCCAAACUUUUAUGCAUUCCUGUAUCAUGUCUAAUGUUCAAUAAAUGUUAAUAACGUU